rnacentral:lncRNA from 1 species
CUGGGAUUCUUGCAAGUAUCGUGCGUGCCCUUGUGAGUUUGGAGGGUGCCGGUCAACGAAGCCACGCGAGGGAGAAGGAACUCAGUGAAUAUUGCCCUGGGUCCUGGUAAUUCCACCUACUGAAGACAACUGCCCCUUCUGCUCAUAUUUCCUGAGUCAACAUGGCCGUUCCUAACUUUGAAGAGACUUUAGACAUUCUUUGUUACAAUGAACCUAGAAGAAAGAAGAGAAAUAAUAACUGCCAUGGAAGGAUGCUCCUCCUGCCAAUUGGCACUUAUCAAUGACAUCGAGGGAGAGGGACAGAGUGCCUAGGUAUGAGCCUUCAUCAAGUGGUAUGAAGGCCCUACCCCAACAGAAAGUGCUGAUGUGAUGAAAUGGUGCUUUGGACAAGACUUUUCCUCCAAGUUGGUCCUAUCCAGGGGUUGGCAAACAGGGUCCCUGGACAUCAUCCAUGUGGCAUACUCUUAUGAAUAAAGUUCUAUAGGACACAGA